rnacentral:lncRNA from 1 species
AUGAGAUUGAUAUGUGCAAUGUAAAUCAUUAUUGUUCAGAAGUUGUGUUUUUCUUAAAGCGGAUGCAGCUCGGGGGUGAGUGUUCUUCAAGAGAUGUUUCCAUGCGUCAGGGAGUUCUGGGGACGGGUGGUCAUUUGAGAGCUUCUCUUCACUACUUUGAGUGUAUAUCUCUAUUGUUUCUGCGGGGAGGGCAUGUUUGUCUUUGUGCAGGGGCCUGGCUGUUCGAGCUUCUUCCCGGUUUGCGGUGGUGUCAUUCUGUAUAGCUGCGACGGAUAGGGCUGUGUUGUUUCUCCCUUUUUCU